GAAUCCUCACAAUUGAGUGGUGUAUUGUGGUGUUGUGAUAUCGCAGAUAGUGAUGCCAGUUAAGAAAUCACAGUAGACUCCACUAGAGAGUAAUGAGUAUAGUGGAUGUUACCUGAUAAGUUGGUAUAUGAACCAAGGUGGUUUAUGAAUUUUGAGUACAAGUCAUACAGGAAUGAUCCCCACCGUGAGAAAACAGAGAGUAAUACUCUUUGAUGGAAAAUGAUGUUUAUUGAUAUGAAUUGGUUAGCAUCUAUUGCUGCUAAGCAUGAUGACACUGGCAUGUUAAGUUGAUGGUGUGGGUAAGCACUGAUGUAUGAGGAAAAGUAAUGGUAUUAAGCAGUUGUCAUCUGUUGAGGGUAAUUGAUUACGACACAGGCUUGACAAGCAGUUGGGUGAGUCGUUGUUGGAUUAUUUAGUCAGAAUUGCAAAGAUAAGCAUCGAUGACGAGCUGAGAUUGGAAACGCAAACAAAGUGUUCGUAGAGACUGAUUCCUUCAAAUCAGGGUAGCAUAGAAUGAAAUUCAGAAGCUACGGAAUGAUAUGAUUUUACUUGUUGAGGAUUGUUGG
rnacentral:lncRNA from 1 species